rnacentral:misc_RNA from 1 species
GUUCCGUAGGUGAACCUGCGGAAGGAUCAUUAUUGUAUAACCGAGGUGCGAGGGCUGUCGCUGACCCGAAAGGUCGUGCACGCCCGAGUGCCCUCACACACAUCCAUCUCACCCCUAUGUGCACCACCGCGUGGGUCCCCCUUUGGCUUGUUCGGAGGGGGGCUUACGUUUUCACACAAACUUUGUAUGCAGUGUAGAAUGUAUUUUUUGUUUUUGCGAUCACGCAAUCAAUACAACUUUCAACAACGGAUCUCUUGGCUCUCGCAUCGAUGUAGAACGCAGC